rnacentral:lncRNA from 1 species
AUGGGCUUGGCCCAUUCCUUUAUUUCAAAAACCCUAGUUCCAUUGUGUGUGUGUGACGGCAUAGCAGACCCAUUCUCUGUUCGAAGAUCUCGUUCCGUAAUCCAGAUUUUUCCGGUUAGUGUGUGAUGUUGUUUAUGUUAAUAGAUGAUGCUUUGAGUGUAUAUGACUUCAUGAUUUAUCAAUUGUCUGGCAAUAUGUUGUUUGUAUGUUAACCGGAUAUGUAUGUUAAUCGGAUAUGGAUGUUAAUCGGAUAUGUAUGUUAAUCGGAUAUGGAUGUUAAUCGGAUGUGUAUGUUAAUCGGAUCUGUUGUGAUGAUGUUUAAUGAUAAUGUUUUGUGGAUCGGCUGUGAUAUUAUGCAAUUCGGAAUUUUUAUUGUUCAUGGAACCGGAACAUAAUAUGAUUAAGUGUUAUUAUUGUUCAUGUGGUUAAAUUAGGGUUCAUGAGGUUUAAUAUGAAACUCCCUGUUUGAUCGAUUCUGAGGUAACCGAAUACUUGAAUUUGUGUUAAUUGAUAAUCACGGAUAAACUUGGAAACUUUGAGUAAAUGUAACUGAUAUUUACCGAAAGAUACUUGUUAGUCGAAACAUAGUUGUU